rnacentral:lncRNA from 1 species
GAAGACUUGAACUCCCUAAUGACUUACAGGUGUGCUGCUGUGUAGACCGCCGAGUUGAGAUCCACUGGACCAGCACAGGGAAGCCAUGACAUGGGGACCCUGAGACCUUCUACUCUCCCCAAUUCAAGGGACCAUCUUUUCCCCUGCCCUUCCUCCAUCUGUUUCACUUUUGAACUUCCCUCUGGAUUAUCCGUAUUAUGAAGAAAAUAUUUGUGCUAUAAAGUUAAUACAGAAGUAAAAUUUUUAGGUUAAAAAAACUCCACCA